rnacentral:rRNA from 1 species
AAUGGACGUUGGCGGCGUGGAUUAGGCAUGCAAGUCGAGCGCGAACCGUAGCAAUACGGGGAGAGCGGCGAAAGGGAGAGUAAUACGUGGAUACCUGCCCUCGGGUUCGGGAUAGCUACGGGAAACUGUAGGUAAUACCGAAUAACAUCUUCGGAUCAAAGGUGUGAUUCUGCCCGGGGAGGGGUCCGCGUCCUAUUAGCUAGUUGGUGAGGUAACGGCCCACCAAGGCGAGGAUGGGUAUGGGGUGUGAGAGCAUGACCCCACUCACUGGGACUGAGACACGGCCCAGACACCUACGGGUGGCUGAAGGCGAGAAUCUUCGGCAAUGGGGGAAACCCUGACCGAGCGACGCGGCGUGCGAGAUGAAGGCCUUCGGGUUGUAAAUCGCUGGCAGAGGGGAGGAAAUGCCGGGGAGUAAUUCAUAAUCAACUCGGUUUGACCUAGCCUCAGAGGAAGGACGGGCUAAGUUCGUGCCAGCCGCCGCCGUAA